GUAGGGGUUGUUUCGACACUUUAGACGAUAAGAGCACCUUCGGGUGUAAUUUACUAUACGAACGACUGGACCGACCACUGACGAAUGCGGAAUGACGUACGUUUUUAUCAACGAGUGGAGAUCACUGAGUAGUACUACAACAUUACGGACUACCGUGCAGACGAAAAUAAAUGACCUUAACGUUAACAAUUUAACAUUUAACAAACUGACACCGCCGAGUAAACAGACAACUACAGACUGAGGCGACGGGUGCUGAUAACCUAACCUACUACUGUAUGUUCCGUGUAGAUACCGUGGUAAGCUUAGAUAUUACCACAAAACGACGUGAUAAGCCAGACGGCAGCUGCAGACUGCUCCGCCCAACCCCGCUAACCAGCUUGAAGCCGUUUUGGUAGUUUGGUCCGUUCGGCCCGGAUGAAUUUAGUAUUUGUUGCGCAUGCGUCACGAAUGACGAAUGAGAUAGGUUGUUAUGUUUAAAACAUUUGUUUUAAACGUUUUUUGAUUGUUGUUGUUAUAAACUAAUAUAACAUAUUAUGUUAAAAUCCAA